CGUCCGCGUUCAAUUUUGUUUUCUUUUCUUCUGAUCUGGGCCCCACCACCACAUCAUCGUCGCCAUCAAGCUCCAGCUGAGGAGUCACGCACGGACGUUUAAGUUUUGCAGUUUCUUGCAUUUCCUCCUUCGUUGAUUACAGGCGAUUUAAGACACCAUUUGACGCACCGUUUCUUCCUAUUUAAGCCUCAGAUUCUCCUCUCUAAUUCCCCCCAAACGUCACACCAAGAGAGCCACCAGGCUGCUCCAAUUUCACCUCGCAAGUUCACGGUACCGGCGACUUCCCGGGACGAUUGCAUGACGACGCUAUAUUUCGACUGUAGUCUCCGGCGAGCGAUUUCCGGCGAACUACUGCACCUCGACGUCCGCAACUUCGUCAUCGAGUUCCCUUUGCGAAGACGAACUCCGUUGUCUGCUACACCAUCGCCAUCAAGCACGGAAACAUCAACUGCAUCGACCACGACCAUAUGUUCCAGUGACCUGUGUUCUACAUUGUGGUUGUGCUGAUUGCAACGAGUGUGUCUGCGAAGAGUGUACCAACUCAUUCUCUCACCAAGGCAAGUGACACACACCAAAAGUCCCAGUUUUAAUUCUUGCACCGUAGUGUUUUUAUAGUAGACAUGUCUAGGGUUUAUGCUUUAUGCCUGCUAAUAAAUCCUAGUAGUUUAGCUACACCACUCCUAGACUCCUUUAGCCGCCAUUAAAUUUAGUUGUUACCUGCUAUGCCAUGGAAAAUGUUUUGAUAGAGGUUAAGGAAAAACAACUAAGUUUAAUAAAUUACCUGGGUGAAUGGUGGAGUUAUGGAGAGGGUGGCUGUAUCAGGGGGCAAGACCCUGGUGCUAGUGCACACUUGCGGAAAGUCACCCAGGCUUAAAGAGAUUGUAGACAAACCUUGCUCAUUAGCUUCCCGUACAACCACAUGCUACUAUGGCUCUGGCUUGACAAAGUAUGUUGUAUGAACCCGGAUCCUAGGGGCCAGGUGGUGGUAGAGGGAUACUGUAGGUGGAACGGGGCCCUUAGGGAAUGGUUCGGGUGAUUACACACAGAAGGUCUCGGCCACGGUCUGCACCUGUCCUCUGAGCAAAAUGUGCAUCGAGGUAGAAGGAUUGACCUGGCCAUGUGGGUAAAGGUGUACAACCUCUCGAGAGUGUAAAAAUCUAAGUAC